rnacentral:rRNA from 1 species
GACGAACGCUGGCGGCGUGCUUAACACAUGCAAGUCGAACGGAAAGGCCCUGCUUUUGUGGGGUGCUCGAGUGGCGAACAGGUGAGUAACACGUGAGUAACCUGCCCUUGACUUUGGGAUAAAUUAAGGAAACUGGGGCUAAUACAGGACAGGAGCCCCUGCUGCAUGGUGGGGGUUGGAAAGUUUCGGCGGUUGGGGAUGGACUCGCGGCUUAUCAGCUUGUUGGUGGGGUAGUGGCUUACCAAGGCUUUGACGGGUAGCCGGCCUGAGAGGGUGACCGGCCACAUUGGGACUGAGAUACGGCCCAGACGCCAACGGGAGGCAGCAGUGGGGAAUAUGACACAAUGGGCGGAAGCCUGAUGCAGCAACUCCCGGUUCGGAAUGACGUCCUUCGGGUUGAAAACCGCUUUCGCCUGUGACGAAGCGUGAGUGACGGUAAUGAGUAAAGAAGCACCGGCUAACUACGUG